UACGUAGGGUGCAAGCGUUGUCCGGAAUUAUUGGGCGUAAAGAGCUCGUAGGCGGUUUGUCGCGUCUGCUGUGAAAACUCAGGGCUUAACUCUGAGCUUGCAGUGGGUACGGGCAGACUAGAGUGCGGUAGGGGAGACUGGAAUUCCUGGUGUAGCGGUGAAAUGCGCAGAUAUCAGGAGGAACACCCAUGGCGAAGGCAGCAUACUGGCCGGCAUCUGACGCUGAGGCGCGAAAGCGUGGGUAGCAAACAGG
rnacentral:rRNA from 1 species